GAUUAUGGGGUGUAGGGACUGAGGCCCGCGCGGGAAGGAGGGAUUGCUGCGCAGGCGUGGGUGGCCGGUAUCGCCCGCUGGACCUUAGCUGGUGGGUGGCCCUGGAGCCACAGACGCGGAGCUGAAGUUGAAGCAGCGGUGGAGGACAUUCUCCUGAGAUGAACUUCUCUGUUAUAGUCUGGUGGCUUUGAUGACUAACUACACGGCUACGAUUCCAAGCCCUGUUUGCAGCCCAGACCCUCUCUUGAUGUAUAGAAUGGUUAUCAACUGGACAUCCCUCCUCCCAGAUAUUAUGUAGACACUUCAAAAUAUCUAAACUCAGAGCACAGGCUCCGGACGCGCAGGCUCAGCGGCCAUGGCUCAGACGGGC